UUGAACGCUGGCGGCAUGCCUAACACAUGCAAGUCGAACGGUAACGCGGGGGCAACCCUGGCGACGAGUGGCGGACGGGUGAGUAAUACGUAGGAAUCUGCCCAGUAGCGGGGGAUAACUUAGGGAAACUUAAGCUAAUACCGCAUACGCCCCACGGGGGAAAGCAGGGGAUCGCAAGACCUUGCACUAUUGGAUGAGCCUACGUCGGAUUAGCUAGUUGGUGGGGUAAAGGCCUACCAAGGCGACGAUCCGUAGCUGGUCUGAGAGGACGAUCAGCCACACUGGGACUGAGACACGGCCCAGACUCCUACGGGAGGCAGCAGUGGGGAAUAUUGGACAAUGGGGGCAACCCUGAUCCAGCAAUGCCGCGUGUGUGAAGAAGGCCUGCGGGUUGUAAAGCACUUUCGAUGGGAAAGAAAAGCUUGGGGCUAAUAUCCUCAAGUAUUGACGUUACCCAGAGAAGAAGCACCGGCUAACUCUGU
rnacentral:rRNA from 1 species